AGUUGUUUAUCCUUCUAUGCCUGCACAGCUAUUUCUGUGCUUCUUUUUUCCUGUUAUAUGUCCUUUUCUUGUUUUCUGAUAGAGUUUCAGGAAGUGUAUGCGUUGCCCAGGCUAAAUCCUUACUGACUCAUGUGAGAAGGUCUCCAAUCCAUUCUCAGGUUACUAGUCAUGACUGAAGACUGUUUGGAUCAUGGACUAGAUUCAAAGUACGCACAUGUCCAUCCUUCUACCAUUUCCACCCAUCAUGACUUGUGUUGAAGCAUCAGCUGAAAAGGGUUCCUCACCAACAUGAGAGCAACCAGGACUGUUUCAAAGGAUGUAGCAACCCCAGCUGGGCGAUCCCCACCUCCACCACUCUCAAAGCAGAACCUGCAGUGCAUAGUUGAGAUGGUACGUGGAGAUCCUAACAUCUCAGUAGGACCAGCAGAAAGCUUCAACUAAUGUUGAUGAGUCUUGCUCUGUCUUCCACGUAGUCAAUGUAUUGCUUAGUAAACAAAAAAGAUUUCUUUUUUACAUACAAAAUCAAAGCCAGGGGGAGAAAAAGCACACAGUAAAAAGUGGUUCUAUUUGGACCCAGUAAUUUUUUUCUUCAACACAAGGGUAAAUUCAACGAUAUGCAGGAUAUUCCUUUCCCAUGGCUGAGCUGGGAUAAAGUGCUUUCAUUCACAGAAACACUAUGAGACCAAAGUCAAUGCUGACAGAGGACCACGAGCAGCAAACAGCAAAUUUCCAGUCCUCCCAUGAUACCCUACAGCUCACGCUGCUGCACAGCUCAAUGAGCUGUAGCAUUAGGGUAGCUUGAUCUUGCUGCCCGGUGAAGCCUAAAAUGAAAGAGUAGGGAGCUUCAUGGUGCCUGCUUUGCUCAGCGCAACAAAGUCCGUAAUAGAAGAAUACACAAGGAAAGGACAAACAUGUACAUAGGAUCAUUUAAGUUGGAAAAGACCUUUAAGAUUAAGUCCAACUGUUAACCUAGCACCGCCAAGUCAAUCAAAUCAUGUCCCUAAGGACCACAUCUGCACGUCUGUUAAAUAACUCCAGGGAUGGUCACUGAACCACUUUCCUGGGCAGCCUGUUCCAAUGACUGAUAACCCUUUCAGUGAAGAAGCUUUCCCCCAUACCCAAUCUAAACCUUGCCUGGUGCAACUUGAGGUCAUUUCCUCUCGUCCUAUUGCUUGUUAUUUGUGGGAAGGACUGACACCUACCUGUGGAGGAAUGAAGCUGGGUUAAUUAUCACUGAUAAUAUACAACUGUGGGCUGGCUUCAGGGGCGGUGGGUUGGCUGAUGGAGAUAAGGUGCAGCUGUGGCUGGUUAAGUGAAGUGGUUGAGAGCCAAUGAAGAGAGAGCAGCCGAGGAAGAGAAGGUAAGAGAGGAAG